CCAGCAGUGUAGUCAUACAUGUUGUGUUGCAUUAAGAGGUCCACACUCUUGCAGGGGGUCCUCCACAGGCACCAGCUCCAAGAUGUCCAUUGAGGUGCUGGACAGGCCGAUGAUUCUCUCGUUCAUCUCAAACAGGUACUUGUACACAUCCUCUGUUCCUUCCUUCUUCCAUUUGCAAAU